GAUGAACGCUGGCGGCGUGCCUAACACAUGCAAGUCGAGCGGAAAGGCCCUUCGGGGUACUCGAGCGGCGAACGGGCGAGUAACACGUGAGUAAGCUGCUCCAGACUCUGGGAUAAUCCUCGGAAACGGGGGCUAAUACCGGAUACGACACAGCUUUGCAUGGGGUCUGUGUGGAAAGUUUUGCGGUGUGGGAUGGGCUCGUGGUCUAUCAGCUUGCGAGUGGGGUGAUGGUUUAUCAAGGCGGCGCCGGAUAGCCGACCUGGGAGCGGAGACGGGCACACUAGGACUAAGGCACGGAGCAGACUGGAACGGGAGGCAGCGGUGGAAAGUAUUACACAGUGGGCGGGAGCGUGAUACGAAGGCGCCGGGUGAGGAAUGACGGCCUUCGGGUUGUGAACCUCUUUCAGCAGAGACGAGGCGUAAGUGACGGUACCUACAGAAGAAGCGCCGGCCAACUACGUG
rnacentral:rRNA from 1 species